UUUUUUUUUUUUUUCACGUUUAGCAUUUCAGGUACAGUUUUAUUUAAAAUCGGGGAUUUGUUUUAUUCGAUUAUAAACUAAUUUAAAAGUAACUAAAAGAUACAUUUAUAAUCUACACUGUAAUACACGCAAAACAAUUAUGGAAGUUAUUGUGCAAGAACACUUCAAAAAAAUUUACCAAUUCUAUGAUUUGGCGGAUAUAAUGGUAGCCCUCUUGCAACUGUAGAGUACUAUGAUUUUGAAAAGACACACUGGAAACAACUCGAUCCUAUGCCGAUACAAAAUUAUUACAUGAAUAUAUCAAAAAUAGAUAACGUCGUUUAUCUCAUUGGUGGUGAAUAUGCAUUUCGACGAGUUUUUAAAUUCGAUUUACAACAUUUCAAAUGGGAUGAAAUGCCUGAAAUGAACAUGGAUUGUAAUUCACAUUGCUCAAGUGUUGUUAUCAUGAAAAACGACUUAUUCGUGUUUGAGAAUUAUCAAGGAAAACUUUAUUGUGAAAGAUAUGACAAAGGAAAAAAUCAAUGGCAAUUGGUUGACAGGGUAGGAGAGCCAUUAUCCCCAACUAGUCAUAUCAUUACUUUCAAUGAUAUUACUCUUAAGUCCUAUGAUAUUCAAUUAUAAUACUAUUUUUUUUUAAUAACACCUUUUUAUAAAUUCAAUUUAGUCUUAAAAUUAUUUAUACAUUUUUUUGUUGGUGAUUUAUUUGUAUUUGUUAAUACUUUGAAAAAACUUCAUUGUAAUAAUAUUACACAAAGAAAACAUGGCAUCUGAUUGUCAAGGCAGAAAAGACAUCAAACGUUUUUGUUAUAAUAUUGCUUUUAAUGAUGUUACUCUAAAAUCAUAUGGUAUUCGCUUAUAAUAUUACUUUCUAUUAAUUAAAUACUGUGUAAAAAUUAGUUUUAAAA